rnacentral:rRNA from 1 species
UACGAGGGGGGCAAAUGUUGUUCGGAAUCACUGGGCGUAAAGGGAGCGUAGGCGGGUUUCUAAGUCAGGUGUUUAAUCCCGGGGCCCAACCCCGGACAGGCACUUGAAACUGGGAAUCUUGAAUAGGGGAGAGGUCGGUGGAAUUGGAGGUGUAGCGGUGGAAUGCGUAGAGAUCUCCAAGAACACCAGUUGCGAAGGCGGCCGACUGGGCCGACUCUGACGCUGAGGCGCGAAGGCGUGGGGAGCGAACGGG